AUACUUACCUGGCAGGGGAGAUACCAUGAUCACAAAGGUGGUUUUCCCAAGGCAAGGCAUAUCCAUUGCACUCCGGAUGUGCUGACCCUGUGAUUUCCCCAAAUGUGGGAAACUCGACUGCAUGAUUUGUGGUAAUGGGUGACUGCAUUCACCCUCUCCCCUG